CUACGGGUCGCAGCAGUAGGGAAUAUUGCACAAUGGAGGCAACUCUGAUGCAGCAACACCACGUGUGGGAUGACGCAUUUAGGUGUGUAAACCACUGUCAGUAGUGAAUAGAAUGAAUGUAACUACAAAGGAAGCACCGGCUAACUUCGUGCCAGCAGCCGCGGUAAUACGAGGGGUGCAAGCGUUGUUCGGAAUCACUGGGCGUAAAGGGUGCGUAGGCGGAAGCGCAAGUCAGAUGUUUAAUUUCGAGGCCUAACUUCGAGUUUGCAUUUGAAACUGCGUUUCUUGAAUAGAUCAGAGGUUAACGGAAUUCUUGGUGUAGCGGUGGAAUGCGUAGAUAUCAAGAAGAACACCAAUGGCGAAGGCAGUUAACUGGGAUCAUAUUGACGCUGAGGCACGAAAGCGUGGGUAGCGAACAGGAUUAGAUACCCCGGUAGUC
rnacentral:rRNA from 1 species